GACGAACGCUGGCGGCGUGCUUAACACAUGCAAGUCGAACGGUAAGGCCCUUCGGGGUACACGAGUGGCGAACGGGUGAGUAACACGUGGGUGAUCUGCCCUGCACUUCGGGAUAAGCCUGGGAAACUGGGUCUAAUACCGGUUAGGACCACUGCCUGCAUGGGUGGUGGUGGAAAGCUUUUGCGGUGUGGGAUGGGCCCGCGGGCUAUCAGCUUGUUGGUGGGGUGAUGGCCUACCAAGGCGACGCCGGGUAGCCGGCCUGAGAGGGUGACCAGGCACACUGGGACUGGAAUACGGCCCAGACUCGUCCGGGAGGCAGCAGUGGGGAAUAUUGCACAAUGGGCGGAAGCCUGAUGCAGCGACGCAGCGUGAGGGCUGACGGCCUUCGGGUUGUAAACCUCUUCCAGCACCGACGAAGCGCAAGUGACGGUAGGUGCAGAAGAAGGACCGGCCAACUACGUGCCAGCCGCCGCGGUAA
rnacentral:rRNA from 1 species